rnacentral:rRNA from 1 species
UACGUAGGGUGCAAGCGUUAAUCGGAAUUACUGGGCGUAAAGCGUGCGCAGGCGGUUUUGUAAGUCAGAUGUGAAAUCCCCGGGCUUAACCUGGGAAUGGCAUUUGGGACUGCAAGGCUUGAGUGCGGCAGAGGAGACUGGAAUUCCUGGUGUAGCAGUGAAAUGCGUAGAUAUCAGGAGGAAUACCGAUGGCGAAGGCAGGUCUCUGGGCUGACACUGACGCUCAUGCACGAAAGCGUGGGGAGCAAACAGG